AGGUUGCUUCAGAAUGGAUGUAAUAAUGAAGCAUGUGGUGGAAUUGUCUGAUUUUAUGGAUUGAUUGGAAACCUGGAGAUUUUCCAUAGAAGAGCUAGCAGUAGUGAAGCUUUUGGUUUGCUUGUCUUUGUGCAAGUGUGAAAACACUUGCAUGUCUUGAUGAAACAAAGAAUGAUAAAGGAGAGCUUUCGCCAACUGAUGAUAAAGGAGAGGCUUUCAUCCCAUGAGAAUCCGGCGAGAGCUCCGAUUAGAGAGUUAUGUGGUAAUUACAAG
rnacentral:misc_RNA from 1 species